rnacentral:lncRNA from 1 species
GUAAAGGAUUGUCCUUACUGGACAUGUUCCAGACUAUCGAGCGAUGAGAUGUUUUUAUUAUCAUUGGGUGUAGUAAAGUUUGAUGCAACAAGUGACAAAUUCAAGUUGUUGCCUGAUUUCCGCUCCAAUAUAUUGGUAAGUCCAGAAAAUUAUGAUUUGAUUUAUAAAUUCGUGGACAUGACAGAUCAUCUUGCGUUGGUUGUGCUUCACCAAAGCUCUGCAGAUUGUAUGGUGGAUAUCUACUCUUUCGAGGGGGAUGAGGGAUGUGGUGCUUGGAUUAAAAUGCACAAUAUGGGAUGUGUCCACUUUUUUUUAAAUAAUUAAGAUUAUUUGAUAUUCAUGUAAAUGACCUCUCAAAUCUUUUGCCCCAUUUAGCCAAUCUUUUCAGAAAUAUUGAUUUUUUUUCGGAGAAUAAAAGGAAAGAUACUAUGUUCAAAUACA